AGUGAACGCUGGCGGCGUGCCUAAUACAUGCAAGUCGAACGGCGUGGCGCGCGGGUGAGUAAUGUAUAGCUAAUCUGCCCUACACUAGAGGACAACAGUUGGAAACGACUGCUAAUACUCUAUAGUGUAGGAUGUGGCGAUAUUGUAUCAGCUAGUUGGUGAGGUAAUGGCUCACCAAGGCUAUGACGCAUAACUGGUCUGAGGGGAUGUUCAGGCACACUGGAAGUGAGGCACGGUCCAGACUCCUACGGGAAGGAGCAGAAGGGUGAAGUGCUCAAGGGGGGAGAGCCAAAAACAGCAUCGGCGCGUAGAGGAUGAUACUUGGCGAAGCGUAAGCUCCUUUUGAUAGGGAAGCGGUACCUAACGAAUAAGCACCGGCUAACUCCGUGCCAGCAGCCGCGGUAAUAC
rnacentral:rRNA from 1 species